UGGGAUUUCACACAACGCAGACCGUCCAGGCACCUCUUGGAGCGUUCAUCAAGCCGGAAGAACACUCAACAAGAACGGGACCGCCCUCAUUCAUUCAGCCAAUCAGAGAAGAGAACAGCAGAUCAUUGACCAAUGGGAGUGCGGAAAAUGUUUUGACCAACCUUAACUGGCACAAGGGAUGGGGGAGGAAGCCCGACGGACGGAACACUACGAGCUGCAACAUUACAAUCACGUGGUCCACGGAAAGAGCCGAACCAGAGCUGGAGUCUUCGGGCUGCACCGGCACAAUGAUUUCACACAGAGAAGUCUUGGGAAGUGGUUGGAAAAGUUACAGGAUCCUUUUAAGAAAAUAAAAGAAAUAAAUAAAUGCUUUCUGUAUUACG